CAGUAGCCGCGGGAAUACGUAGGUGGCAAGCGUUGUCCGGAAUUAUUGGGCGUAAAGGGCUCGCAGGCGGUUUCUUAAGUCUGAUGUGAAAGCCCCCGGCUCAACCGGGGAGGGUCAUUGGGAACUGGGAAACUUGAGUGCAGAAGAGGAGAGUGGAAUUCCACGUGUAGCGGUGAAAUGCGUAGAGAUGUGGAUGAACACCAGUGGCGAAGGCGACUCUCUGGUCUGUAACUGACGCUGAGGAGCGAAAGCGUGGGGAGCGAACAGGAUUAGAUACCCCCGUAGUCCCUGUCUCUUAUAC
rnacentral:rRNA from 1 species